AGACCGAUAGCGAACCAGUACCGUGAGGGAAAGGUGAAAAGGACCCCGGAAGGGGAGUGAAAGAGACCCUGAAACCAUGCGCCUACAAGCGGUCGGAGCCGCGUAAUGCGGUGACGGCGUGCCUUUUGCAUAAUGAGCCUGCGAGUUGUGGUCAUUGGCGAGGCUAAGAGCCGAAGGUUCGGAGCCGGAGCGAAAGCGAGUCCGAAGAGGGCGUAUAGUCGAUGGCUGCAGACGCGAAACCGGGUGAUCUACGCAUGGGCAGGCUGAAGGCUGGGUAACACCAGCUGGAGGGCCGAACCGGUAAGCGUUGAAAAGCUUUCGGAUGACCUGUGCGUAGGAGUGAAAGGCCAAUCAAACCCGGAGAUAGCUCGUACUCCCCGAAAUGCAUUUAGGUGCAGCCUCGGUAAAGACCGACGGAGGUAGAGCGACCGAUAGGGUGCGAGGGCUUCGCCGCCUAUCAAGCCCUGACGAACUCCGAAUGCCGUCGGUUGCUUACCGGGAGUGAGGGCGCGGGUGCUAAGGUCCGCGUCCGAAAGAGGAACAACUCAGACCACCGUCUAAGGCCCCGAAAUCCGGGCCGAGUUGAAGCCAAUAACGAGGUGGGACCGCAUAGACAGUUAGGAUGUUGGCUUGGAAGCAGCCAUUCAUUCAAAGAGUGCGUAACAGCUCACUAAUCGAGCGGUCCCGCGUGGAUAAUAAUCGGGCAUAAGUCCGGUGCCGAAGACGUGGAAUCAACCUUGAAGGUUGAUUGGUAGGGGAGCAUUCUGCCGCCGGUGAAGGAGGGCCGCGAGACCCUCUGGAGGUUGCAGAAAAGCAAAUGCAGGCAUAAGUAACGACAAAGGGGGCGGGAAACCCCCUCGCCGGAAGGCCAAGGGUUCCUGAUCAACGCUAAUCGGAUCAGGGUAAGCCGGGACCUAAGCAAAAGCCGCGAGGCGUAUGCGAUGGACAAACGGUAAAAAUUCCGUUGCCUCCGGUUUGAGAGCCCCGUUGAUGACGGAGGAGCGAAAGACGCGCGUGCUGACGGAACAGCACGUUAAAGGGAAGUAGCCUUAUGGUGAAGCCCGACAGUACACAGAGGCUUCGGCCGAAGUGAUAGCCGUACCGUAGCAGACUCCCGAGAAAAGUCAGCGAGAGGCGCUUGAUCAAACCGGGGCCCGUACCGAAAACCGACACAGGUGGCCGGGUAGAAAAUACUGAGGCGCUCGAGAGAUUCACGGUCAAGGAACUAGGCAAAUUGGCCCCGUAACUUCGGGAGAAGGGGCCCUCGUUUAGCAAGCGAGGCGCAGAGAAUAAGUCCAGGCAACUGUUUAGCAAAAACACAGGGCUGUGCCAAGCCGCAAGGCGCUGCAUACAGCCUGACACCUGCCCGGUGCCGGAAGGUUAAGCGGAGCUGUCAUCGCAAGAGAAGCAGUGAAGUGAAGCCCCGGUAAACGGCGGCCGUAACUAUAACGGUCCUAAGGUAGCGAAAUUCCUUGUCGGGUAAGUUCCGACCUGCACGAAUGGUGUAAUGAUCCGGACACUGUCUCGACCGUGAGCUCGGUGAAAUUGUAGUAUCGGUGAAGAUGCCGAUUACCCGCAACGGGACGAAAAGACCCCGUGAACCUUUACUGCAGCUUAGCAUUGGGGCCGGGUGUGCGAUGUGUAGGAUAGUCCGGAGACAGCGAAGCCGGGACGCCAGUCUCGGUGGAGUCGACGUUGAAAUACGGGCCUUCGCACAUUUGGCUUCUAACUUGCGAUGCAAGGACAUUGCUUGGCGGGUAGUUUGACUGGGGUGGUCGCCUCCAAAAGCGUAACGGAGGCUCCUAAAGGUUCCCUCAGGCCGAUUGGCAACCGGCCGCAGAGCGCAAUGGCAUAAGGGAGCUUGACUGUGAGACCAACAAGUCGGACAGGAAGGAAACUUGAGCAUAGUGAUCCGGCGGUUCCGUAUGGAAGGG
rnacentral:rRNA from 1 species